rnacentral:rRNA from 1 species
GAUGAACGCUAGCGGCAGGCUUAAUACAUGCAAGUCGAGGGGUAGCAAGAUUGUAGCAACACAAGUGUUGACGACCGGCAAACGGGUGCGGAACACGUACACAACCUUCCUACAAGUGGGGGAUAGCCCAGAGACAUUUGGGUUAAUACCCCCUACCAUAGCUAAGUGACAUCACAUUGCUAUUAUAGCUUCGGCGCUUGUUGCCGGGUGAUCUGCUGUGUAGCUGGUUGGCGGGGUAACGGCCGACCAAGUAUACGAUCAUUAGCUGAUGUGAGGGCAUGAUGAGCCACAAGGGGAAUGAGACACGGGCCGGACGCCUACGGGAGGCAGCAGUAAGGAAUAUUGGACAAUGGACGCAAGUCUGAUCCAGCCAUGCCGGGUGAAGUAUUAAGGUCCUCUGGAUUGUAAACUUCUUUUAUAAGGGACGAAAAAAGGUCUUUCUAGAUCGUCUGGCGGUACCUUAUGAAUAAGCACCGGCUAACUCCGUGCCAGCCGCCGCGGUAAAAC